rnacentral:rRNA from 1 species
CCUACGGGAGGCAGCAGUAAGGAGUAUUGGUCAAUGGAGGCAACUCUGAACCAGCCAUGCCGCGUGCAGGAAGAAGGCCCUAUGGGUCGUAAACUGCUUUUGUACCAGAGAAAACCCGAGUACGUGUACUCGGUUGAUAGUAUGGUAAGAAUAAGCAUCGGCUAACUUCGUGCCAGCAGCCGCGGUAAGACGAAGGAUGCAAGCGUUAUCCGGAUUCAUUGGGUUUAAAGGGUGCGUAGGCGGACUGAUAAGUCAGUGGUGAAAUCUCUCGGCUUAACCGAGAAACUGCCAUUGAUACUGUUAGUCUAGAGUAUAGAUGACGUUGGCGGAAUAUGACAUGUAGUGGUGAAAUACUUAGAUAUGUCAUAGAACACCGAUUGCGAAGGCAGCUAACGAAACUAUAACUGACGCUGAGGCACGAAAGUGCGGGGAUCAAACAGGAUUAGAUACCCUGGUAGUCCGCACCGUAAACGAUGAUUACUCGUUGUUGGCAAUAUGACCGUCAGCGACCAAGCGAAAGCGAUAAGUAAUCCACCUGGGGAGUACGCCGGCAACGGUGAAACUUAAAUGAAUUGACCGGNNGAGAGAGCGAGACGACGACGAGGGAGGAGG